GACGAACGCUGGCGGCGUGCCUAAUACAUGCAAGUAGAACGCUGAAGGAGGAGCUUGCUUCUCUGGAUGAGUUGCGAACGGGUGAGUAACGCGUAGGUAACCUGCCUGGUAGCGGGGGAUAACUAUUGGAAACGAUAGCUAAUACCGCAUAAUAUUGACUAUUGCAUGAUAGUCAGUUGAAAGGUGCAACUGCACCACUACCAGAUGGACCUGCGUUGUAUUAGCUAGUUGGUGGGGUAACGGCUCACCAAGGCGACGAUACAUAGCCGACCUGAGAGGGGGAUGGGCCACCCUGGGACUGAGACACGGCCCAGACCCCUACGGGAGGCCGCAGUAGGGAAUCUUCGGCAAUGGACGGAAGUCUGACCGGGCAACCCCGCGUGAGUGAAAAAGGUUUUCGGAUCGUAAAGCUCUGUUGUAAGGGAAGAACGGGUGUGGGAGGGGAAAGCCCCCACUGUGACGGUAUUUUACCAGAAAGGGACGGCUAACUCCGU
rnacentral:rRNA from 1 species